CUCGUCGGCGAUCAAUGGAUUCUGGCUGAUUCGUAACGGUUGGGCUUUCCUUCUCUCGUACAGCGUCGAGGGUGUCCUGGUCUUUGGGUUCAUGGGAGUUUUGAUGCAGGAGGUAAUGAGAACCGAGAACCGAUGGGGAUUCUGCAUCCCGUCAGGAUUUCACCGCCAGCUCGUGGAGCAACGGUAACUCCACCGGAGGGGCGGGGGUUAAUCUUACGGGGAGCCCCGAGGGCCAAAAAAGGUGCGUAACCUCAACUACAACACGGAGCUCCUGUUCAUCGACCAUGACGGUUUGGAGGUCGCCCUCAGGACGCUGCCUGUCUUUUACCAGGACCUGAUCACUGUCUGGAACAUGGUUGAAUCACGUCGCGCCCACCCUACGUCAGGAGUAGUGGCUGUCAUCAGGGAGCCGUUGCUCAGGAUUCCACACCUCCAUACUUGGGGGUUCGAGUGGCUGUCAAAGGGAAAGGCCGUGGCGGCGAGGGUGACCAGGGUUGGGGACGUGCUGGGUGCCUGAGCUGGAUGCUGCCGCAGGACAUAGCGAAGACGGCAGCGGUGGACAACUUAAUUCCUCCACUCCAACAAAUACAUGUACUUUGUCUGCCACUGGUUAUUUGACUUGACCUCUCUCAAUUGUUUCUUCAAUUCCAGUAAGUUUUGGGCACUUACCAUUGCUUUUCCUUUAUCCUCAAUCUCUUUACUGAGUACCUCAUUUCAUGCUUUUAGCUGCUGAGUCUGAGGGUUCCAAAAUUUUCUUCCUACAACUGUUGCCCCUCUCCACUUAUGACAUUAUUUUAAAAGUACUUUACCUGUCCUAAUGGUAUCCCAAAUUUGAAAAAACCAGAACAAAGUUAACUUCUCAAGUUCACUAUCUCCCAUUGUCUUGUGCGGUGAGCAACAACUUUUGAUAAUGCUAUUACUGCAUCAUGAUGGUUUGUUUUAUUGCAUUAAAGACACCAAAUAAAUGCUGUUGCAUUUUUUUUCACGUACCACAUACUUCUCCACUGG